rnacentral:lncRNA from 1 species
GUGUCUAGUCCCUUAACUUUUAUCUUGUCUAUUUUACUCCUCAAAUUUGAACUUUCCUUUCAAUCAAGUCUUCCAAAAAUUGCAACCCUAGGUCCCUAAACUUUUGGCACUUGUACACUGUGGUCUCCAAAAGUCAUGCUUUUGUGCAUUUUUGGUCCUUUUUUCAUUCCUUUGGGUUUAUUCUCUUCCAAUUUGGGAUUUUAGCCUAUAAAAGUCAUAAUUACA